rnacentral:tRNA from 1 species
UCAGAGAGAGUUUUGGAGAAUACUAACUUUGGGAGUUAGAGGGUGGCUGUAUAGUCAUUUCUGAA